AGCCAAAAGGGAAAUCAGGGCACCAGUAAGUUAUUCUCUGUUGACAAAAUGAGCCAGGUCAGGCCGGAUUAGAGUAUAUAAAGCCAGUUUUAUUGGGAAGCAUCUCUCAGUCAAGUUCACUGACCACACAGGAGCAGGGCAGUGAAGACGCCUUGGGAGGGGAAAGAGAAAGAGAGAAAGCAUUCAGAGAGAGAGAGAGAGAGAGAGAGAGAGAGAGAGAGAGAGAGAGAGAGAGAAAGGAGGAGGAGGAAGAAGAGGAGGAGCAAAAAUCGAAGAGCUUCUAGAGGAGGAAAGCCCAGUCCCUAGACUUGGAAGUUCAAGGCAGAAGGUAGGGUACGCCAGGCAGCCCCUGUAAUAGGUAGGGACUGAGGGAUGCUGGGAGAACCUGGGGCCGUAAAAGAUGCACCUCAGCCAUUUGUCCUGGGUCUGAAUCCAGACCCACGGAGAGGGAAGGACUGUUCGUCUUCAAGGUGCUCCUCCCACAAGGUAACCGACUGGGGAAAAGGCACGCCGGCCGGCAUUGCUGAGAAGCUGACCAAAGCAGGGACUAUUACUGCAUUUUUAAAACUUUGGUGUGAAUAUUCCCGGAAUUCGAACUCCCUUAUAGUGCCAUACAGAUGGGAUUUUCUGUGAAAAAAAUCUCAUCCAGCACUGUAGCAGAAAAUUCAGUUUGUAUUGUCAUGAAUGUCUAAUUGGAAAUGGUGUCUAAAAGAAAAACAAGUGAGCUGUUAAAUAAUCAUUGUCAAGAAAUAGUAAUGUCGGUAGACAAGUGGAAAAAGCCAUGUUUGCAAAAACAGAGGACACCGUCCAAGUCCCAGGUCAUUACCAAGGAAUGAGGGCAGAGUCUCACUGUGGGCGGUGACAUGGGGCUAUUCUUGUGAUUCUCUGCUAGGAAAAACAAAAUCAAGUACACACAGAAAGAGUCCUUUUCACAAGUUUCAAGAACCAAAGCCACUUAACUUUUGUGUUGCCAAAAAGAAUGUUCCUAGGGGCAAAAUAAUCACAUAUAUAAUUACUUUAUAUAUAUUAAAAAAUUGAUGCUUGAAAUGAUGCCAAUGAGUUGAACAUUAAUAAUUUACUAAAUAGUUAAUGUCCAAUGCAUGCCAAGAGAAGCAAAUGUUCAAAUAUUCUCCUCAGUUUCAUGCUUCUCUCUAUCAUUCCAACAUCUUGCUUCUUCACUAAUUGAUUUUUUUCUUGGAGGACCUUAUGCUUUAUAUUUGGUAAGUCAUUUCUCCACCAAUGAAAUGAGCAAAUUCAAGCCAGAUUUUAUACACACACACACACACACACACACACACACACACACACACAGAGGUUUAUUGGGAAGCUGCUGCUCUUGGGUGGAUUUACUGGCCUCAAGGACCAAGGUCAGAGAAGCCACAAUGGGAAGGGAAAAGGAAGGGGGAAGAGAGAAAGCAAGAAGGAACACACACACACACACACACACACACACACACACACACACACACAGAGAGAGAGAGAGAGAGAGAGAGAGAGAGAAGGAUAGAAGAGAGGGAAAAUUGUGGGCGGGGUAUGCCAGGUAGGGACUGAGGGAUGCUGGGAGAACCUGGAGACCAGGUCUGUUUUGGUAUGUAAAAUAUGUGCCUCAGUCCCUUGUCCUGGGGUCUGACACCAAACAAUACUGCUUACUCACUACAUUUUAAAGACAGAAAAAUGACAGGAUUAGAUGAUCUUUUCACCAAGCUGACAGCUUCCUCCAGUGCAUAUUUCACAAUCCUCUGAAUGACGAUUAUUGAGAACCUUGUUUAUGUAGUUUUAGCUGUGUAGUAGUUGAAGCCAGGGUCUCAGAAAUGCUAGGUAAAAAUCUAUACCACGGAGCUAUCAGAAACAAAAGCAGAAAGAAGCCAGUAGUUGCAAUACAGCGUCCUGCUUAAGACAACUGGACACUUGGCUAGGUGAUCCGGAAGCUGUGUCUUUUGUGAUGGAGAUUGGUAAUCAGUAAAGUGGCAUAAGUGGGCGGGGCCUGGGGCGGGGGAAUGGAGCUUCAUAGAAUAAGUGUGGAGACCCAGAGCGUCAGGGAAAGCAUGCCCUGGCUUUGGUUAGUG
rnacentral:lncRNA from 1 species